rnacentral:rRNA from 1 species
GACGAACGCUGGCGGCGUGCUUAACACAUGCAAGUCGAACGGUGAAGCGCCUUCCUUUUUGGUGGGUGUGGAUGAGUGGCGAACGGGUGAGUAACACGUGAGUAACCUGCCCCCUUCUUCUGGAUAACCGCAUGAAAGUGUGGCUAAUACGGGAUAUUCUGGGUCUGUCGCAUGAUGGGUCUGGGAAAGAUAUUGUUUCGGUGGGGGAUGGGCUCGCGGCCUAUCAGCUUGUUGGUGGGGUGAUGGCCUACCAAGGCGGUGACGGGUAGCCGGCCUGGGAGGGUGGACGGUCACACUGGGACAGAGACACGGCCCAGACUCCUACGGGAGGCAGCAGUGGGGAAUAUUACACAAUGGGCGCAAGCCUGAUGCAGCGACGCCGCGUGAGGGAUGGAGGCCUUCGGGUUGUGAACCUCUUUCGCCAGUGAAGCAGGCCUGCCUCGUUUGUGGGUGGGUUGACGGUAGCUGGAUAAGAAGCGCCGGCUAACUACGUG